rnacentral:rRNA from 1 species
AUGGCGAGCGGCGGCUACGGCUACGGCGGCCCCUACUCCUCCUACCAGCCUGCGGCCGCGCCCUUCUACUACGCGCAGCGGCCGGCGAGGGGCAGCGGCUCGCGCCCGCCGCUCCACCUCUUCCUGCUGCUCGCGACGCUCCUCCUCCUCGCCGCCACCUCGCUGUACGCGCGGUGCGAGGCGGCGGUGGAGGGCAUGGUCCAGCAGCUCCGGCCGCUGCUCAUCCUGUCCCCGCUGCUGCUCAUCGUCGCCGUGCAGCUCUGGGUGGCGACCAGCGGGGAUCAUCAAGGGCGAGGCGGGGGCGCACUCGCGUACCUCCUCGAGCAGGUGGCUCCGUCGGACCAGUACUACAGGAGCGGCACCCCGUACGGCCGGUGGGACGGCGGCUCGUCGCCGUGGGGCGUGGCGGUGGUGCUCGUGCUCGUCCUGAUCUUGGUCUCGUACCAGUCUUCGUUCCAGGAGUGGCGGUUGUUCCCGCUGCGCGGCCGGUGA